UACGUAGGGGGCAAGCGUUGUUCGGAAUUCCUGGGCGUAAAGGGCGCGUAGGCGGCCGAUCAAGUCAGAUGUGAAAGUCCUGGGCUUAACCUGGGGACUGCAUUUGAUACUGAUUGGCUUGAAUGCAGGAGAGGAUAGCGGAAUUCCCAGUGUAGAGGUGAAAUUCGUAGAUAUUGGGAAGAACACCGGUGGCGAAGGCGGCUAUCUGGACUGUGAUUGACGCUGAGGCGCGAAAGCGUGGGGAGCAAACAGG
rnacentral:rRNA from 1 species